GACUCUCGGCAACGGAUAUCUCGGCUCUUGCAUCGAUGAAGAACGUAGCGAAAUGCGAUACGUGGUGUGAAUUGCAGAAUCCCGUGAACCAUCGAGUUUUUGAACGCAAGUUGCGCCCAAAGCCUUUUGGUUGAGGGCACGUCUGCCUGGGUGUCACAC
rnacentral:rRNA from 13 species